AUGACUUUUGAUUUAAGAGAAUUGAGCACAUUAUUUUGUGUUCAGUAUUUAACUCUCACCAUCCAAAUUUUCAUAAUACGGCCCAGGUGUAAAAGAAACCCUUAUCUCGGACAUGCCCUUUCCAUCACAGAGUGGAGACAGUAUGGGCAAAACCACCUGGUGAUUCUUGGAUACAGUGAAGUCACAUUACAAAAGCUAAUGACAAUGAUUUGAGGAAAUUGAAUUCUCACAGGGAAGAACAGUGAAUAUUUAAGAAUGAUGAGACAUUCUACCGCAUUUGACUCUGUCGAUCACAAAUAUUCACUUCCCUCUUUGCUGCGUACAAGACAUAUUUACCCCUCUCUCAGGGAGACAGGCCAAAGGCCACAUGAAGUCAGCCACUGUGCUCAACUUCCAGGAUGCGAUGACAAUUUCUAUACUUUAGAGUCACAACUGCCUUCUCUAAAUUCAGACAGUUGAUUUGUCUAAUGUACACACCUUACAAUUACUAGAGAAACAGGGAAAAAACAAUAUAAAAAACACUAUCAUUCAGAAAGGAUAGGAAUUGGGAAUACACAGCAAACACUGUCAAUAUCAAGUCUAAAAUAGAACUUGAUAAGCAAUGCAGGGGCCCCUCACUCUGUAGCUCUGGAAACCCUCUUAACUGGCUCCCAGUUAUGUUUCUUGAGAAUAAGACCCAGCCACUUUUAUUUCGUGGCUCUUGAGUCACAAUCUAAGAGGUCUCUGCUUUUCUAUUAUUUUACUUUGCCAUAUCCAAAAAUGUUCUAAAGAAGUUUUAAAGAACAUUAAAAAAAUAAAACUUCCUUGGGACUAAGUUUAUUUCUCAGCCUUCUUUUUUCUUUUUUCUUUUUUUUUUUUUUUUUUUGUCUAUAGACUGUGGGAGCAGAAAACUGAUUUACAUUCAAUCUCUCCUACCCAGGCUAACUACUUAAAAACAUGAUCCUCUUUUAACAUGCUAGAUUCUUUCUUGUAUGAUGUCAAUAGUCUUACUCACUAUUAUUUUUAAGUACUUAUUUACACUUACUUACAGAUACUUUAAACUUAAGAGAUUUUUAAGGCAGAGCUAUGUCCUUCUGAAAAAGUCCUACACCCAACAGAAAUUACAUACUUAAUGUUAAGAUAUUGAGUUAAUAGUUUCAGAUGUUGAAACAAAUGAUAUGGUAGCAACAUCACUGGCAGGUUCUUGCUGCAAAAUGGUGUUCAUAUACCUCAAAGAAUGACUAAACUGUACUUUUAACUUAGGGGAGAUGAGAUGUGGUUGCAUCUUCAACUCUAAUUCCCAUUUGUUUGUGGAUUUUCUCUAUUCCCAUCCACACCAAACACCAAAUAGGCCAAUUCAUUUAUCAGUUUCUUUAUUAUAGGUCAUAGCAAACAGAUUAAUUCCAAAUUCACAUUCAUAAAGCCACAGACACUUUUGGUAUCUUAUUUACCUUUCAGAUUAUCUCAGGUGACAACUUUACCGAAAUUUUCACUACUGCAGCAUAACCUAAGCUGUUGCUGCUAUAUUUUUACUUCAAAGGAAGUCUACAGGUCAAGAAAUAAAUUUCUCUUAAAUGGAGGGGCCGUGAAUAGUCAUUAAAAAAUCUACCAAGUGUACAUAAAACAUUCAACAUAUUCUAUAGACAAUUUUAAUUAUAUAACUAAGUUUAACAAUGUUGAUGGAGCAAUGGUAAUCUGUAAAAUUAAAUGAAUUUCUAAUAUCAUUAUAUCAAAACUAUGCUAUGCAUAAAUAAUAUGUAAAUAUUAUCUACCUCUAUAUUAUAUAAAAUUGAAAGCAACAUAGAACUACACAAAUACUUGACAAUGAAUCUAAUGAAGGAAGCAUAACAUACACAAAAGAAACAAUAAAAUCUUAUUGAUAAAAAUUUACAUGGAGGCUAGGACUUCCAUAUCUCUUUGUUAUUUAACCUAAAGCAAUACUUCUGGCCAGCCCUCCAACCCUAAUUUUGUGUACUUUUAAAGCAUUCACAGUCAGUUUGAGAUGUUGCUUUUAAAUACACUUAUUUAAAAACCCCAGAGACAAACAUUACAAAGCUGGAAUGCAUUGAAACAGUGGUUCUUAAUGAAACUGUUUUUGAAGGUCAUCCAUGUAGUGAUGGUCUUACAGGACAUUGUCUGUAGACAGAAUAAAUAAUAUAUCUGACCUAUGUGAUUUCUUCUGUUUUUCAAAUGUAAAUAAAUUAUCCUGUGAUUAACACAAUAUGAACUGAUUUUACAAUGUCUCUGUAUACAUAGUAACUUUUAUCCAUACUGAUUUUCAUAUAUAGUAGAGACUUUGCAAAAUUAUAUUAUGGGGGAUUAGGUUAAGCAAAAUAUUUUGAUUAUUAAAAAGCAGACAUACUCAUAUCCUUAGAAAGUGUAUUAGGAAAUAGAAUCAGACUUGUGCAUUAUUUUUCUCAUUAGCACGUGCACCAGUCUUCUAUCUGAUGCUACUGUUCUGCCUACUGUCUCAAAGGAAGGUGUCUCUGUUGCUGUCUAUUUUAGUUGCUUUACCAAAGUGAAUUACAUAGAAGCUUCAUUAGUGAUGUUUGAAUCUGGCCACUAAGGAUGCUUUAUUUAUUCAUAUGAUCCCAGUGCACUUCCAAGAGAUGGAGCAGAAAUAAUAAAUAUUUUGGGAAUAGAAAAGCUAACUCUCUGCUCUUCUGAAAUCAGAAGAAACUCUGUUGCCUUCCUCCCUUACAUCACAUUUUCUUACCAUUAUGACAGAGUCCAAGGAAAAUAUUUUCCAAGUGUAAAAUAAGAGAGUUUCUAAAAAGAGUGUUUAUUGUAAUGUGAACAUGCAAAACUAGGAGACCUCAAGAUCCUUCAGGAGAUACCUGAAGAUUGAUGAUCAAGUUAAACCAGUACAAAGUUACAUCUUCCUUAACACAACACAGUUCAACCCACUAGGGAGCUGCCACCUGAAACGUGAAAAAUGAUCAAAAGAGUAAGUAUUUUAAUGUAGGUAUGACAAUUCCUUUCUCAUAUGAGAGAUAAGAGAAAGAAAUUAUUGCUGGAGUAGUCUUCUGUAAUUUUGUUAAGCUUGUUUCAAAUUUUUAAUAUGGAAAACUGUAGUGAACAUGUUUUUAAACUAUUAACAGAUCUUUGACAACACUAAACAUCAUAGCUAGGGCAUAUUUAUGCAUUCCUACAUAGUCACACAUGCAGUUUGUGGUCACUCAUAAAAUAUAAAAGACACACAGAAAUAUGCCUUCCAAAUCCUUGGGAUAUAUACAAAAAAAAGCAUAUUACAUUGCUUAUAAUGUUAGCUUUUUUCUAAAUUGUAAAUAUUCUCUUAUGGUUAAAUGUCUAGCCAGAAAUAAGUCAAUCCCUCAUAUUUAUUAGUUCAACAAAAAUGCUCCCUUAAUGUCUAAGUGACACUAAGACUGAGAGGCCUUUGUGUUGCUGCUCAUGAUGCACUGCACCGCACAAGAUGAUCAAGGCGUAGAAGACUAUUUCACCAAGAAAGCUUUUGCCUAGU
rnacentral:lncRNA from 1 species